rnacentral:rRNA from 1 species
GUGCCAGCAGCCGCGGUAACACGUAGGAGGCAAGCGUUAUCCGGAUUUACUGGGCGUAAAGCGCGUGUAGGCGGUUCGGUAAGUUGGAUGUGAAAUCUCCUGGCUCAACUAGGAGAGGUCGUUCAAUACUGCCAGACUAGAGGACGGUAGAGGAAGGUAGAAUUCCCGGUGUAGUGGUGAAAUGCGUAGAUAUCGGGAGGAAUACCAGUGGCGAAGGCGGCCUUCUGGGCCGUUCCUGACGCUCAGACGCGAAAGCGUGGGUAGCGAACGGGAUUAGAUACCCUCGUAGUCC